rnacentral:lncRNA from 1 species
UCUUAAAAUAAUUAUGUACUAAGGCCACACCAAUUUGAUUCCUUGUUCGACGGACCCGCCCGCACCUAUUUUUUUCAAAACCGAAUUUUUUUAUUUUUUUUAUAUUCCCGCUUCCCGCAUCCGGAAAUGUAAUCAUGUCUAUUUCCCGCACCGUUUUUUUUUUGUAAAUAUAACAAAAGGAUAUCAACAUUUGUUUUUAAAAUCACAGUC